UCGGGGAGGAAGAAGAAAAAUGAGUUUCUCCCUCUUGCCGUCUCUCGCUCCCCGCCUCCCCGUCU
rnacentral:misc_RNA from 1 species